GGUUAAGCGACUAAGCGUACACGGUGGAUGCCCUGGCAGUCAGAGGCGAUGAAGGACGUGCUAAUCUGCGAUAAGCGUCGGUAAGGUGAUAUGAACCGUUAUAACCGGCGAUUUCCGAAUGGGGAAACCCAGUGUGUUUCGACACACUAUCAUUAACUGAAUCCAUAGGUUAAUGAGGCGAACCGGGGGAACUGAAACAUCUAAGUACCCCGAGGAAAAGAAAUCAACCGAGAUUCUCCCAGUAGCGGCGAGCGAACGGGGAGCAGCCCAGAGCCUGAAUCAGUGUGUGUGUUAGUGGAAGCGUCUGGAAAGGCGCGCGAUACAGGGUGACAGCCCCGUACACAAAAAUGCACAUGCUGUGAGCUCGAUGAGUAGGGCGGGACACGUGGUAUCCUGUCUGAAUAUGGGGGGACCAUCCUCCAAGGCUAAAUACUCCUGACUGACCGAUAGUGAACCAGUACCGUGAGGGAAAGGCGAAAAGAAC
rnacentral:rRNA from 1 species